rnacentral:rRNA from 1 species
UACGUAGGGUGCGAGCGUUGUCCGGAAUUAUUGGGCGUAAAGAGCUCGUAGGCGGUUUGUCGCGUCUGCUGUGAAAACUCAGGGCUUAACCCUGAGCUUGCAGUGGGUACGGGCAGACUAGAGUGCGGUAGGGGAGACUGGAAUUCCUGGUGUAGCGGUGAAAUGCGCAGAUAUCAGGAGGAACACCGGUGGCGAAGGCGGGUCUCUGGGCCGUAACUGACGCUGAGGAGCGAAAGCAUGGGGAGCGAACAGG